CAGGCAUUGCCAACGUCCCCUUCUCCCUUGAGAGUGGAGACAGCAGCCAGAUGUGGGACAUACCCAAGUUCACUGUCCCAACUCAUGGGAGGGAACAGUCUGGGCCGAAAAACUCCUCCCUGACCUCAACACCUUGUAAUACUCUUCUCCCAAAAUCAGCCUCUGCAGUGGCAAAUUUAUCUAAUUUAUAGUGUUUAACAAAUGGAGAAGGAGAGGUCCAAGUAGCUGCUCUGCAUAUUUCAGACAAUGAAGCCUUAGAAGCCUAAGCAGCUGUAGUUGCAGCACUUCUGGUGGAAUGAGCUGUCACCUUGGUAGGAGGAGGCAAAGAUCGCAGUUCGUAUGCCAUCUUAAUCAUUGUUCGGAUCCAUCGACCUAACGUCGAAGAAGAUACCUUAUUUCCUAAUGAAGCCGGAAGAUAGGAAAUGAACAUUGACUCUGUCCUACGAAUAUCAGCCGUCCUCUGGAUGUAUAACUUCAGUGCCCGUCUGACAUCCAACAUGUGUAAUCUGUUUUCCAAUGGAUUGGAAGGUGAGGAAUAAAAAUCUGGUAAAACAAUUUCUGCAAACGAUGAAAAGAAGAUUUAAUUUUAGGUAUAAAAGUAGGAUCCAAUCUGAGGACCACUCUAUCUACAUGGAAUACACAUAAAUCAUCUCGGACCGACAAUGCUGCAAGUUCUGAAAUACGUCGCGCCGAAGUAAUCGCGACUAGAAAAACAAUUUCUUCUGACAAUAGACAUAAACUGGUAGAGUCUAUUGGUUCAUAUGGCGAACCCAUAAGUGAAUCCAACACAAUUGAAAGUUCCCAAGAAGGGUAUCGAUGUAUUACUGGUGGACAAAGGUUAGCUGCUCCUCUGAGAAAACGACGAAUCAUGGGAUCUUGUGACAAUGAAUUAUUGGAAUUAUAUGUCAGGAUAGAUGAGAUAGCAGCCACCUGUCUCUUGAGAGUGUUGGGAGAAAGUCCUUUUUCUAAACCAGCCUGUAAAAACAUCAGUACCUGCAAAACAGAAGCUUGAAGAGCAGAAAAACCUUGGGUCUCACACCAAGAUGUAAAUGUGUGCCAAGUUGCUGAAUAAAUUCGUUGUGUUGAUGACCGCCUAGAUGCCUGCAUGGUUCUAAUUAUUGGAGAUGGAAUGUGAUUUCGCUGGAGAGCAUCCCGUUCAACCACCAUGUGGUCAUUUGUAGCCAUUGUGGUUCCAGAUGUGUGAUUACACCCUGGCUGAGGCAAUUCGUGAUACAUGGUAUCCUCCAAGGAGGAGUCACUGAUAAAUUCAUGAGGUCUGCAAACCAUGACCUUCUUGGCCAAUGUGGCGCUAUUAGAAUGAUUUCCGCCCUUUCCAGUAUUAGUUUCUGAAUUACCCUCGGAAUUAGAGGAAUUGGUGGAAAGGCGUACAACAGACCUUGUGGCCAAGGGGAGCGUAGAGCAUCCACAGCUUCUGCAACGUUGAACGUUCUAUCUUUUAUGACCCUGGCCACAAGAGAUCUCAACCCGGGUUACGAUCCGGGUAGAGGAAAAACUUACCUUCAACUAAAUCAAAUAUAGUUCCCAAAUGAAGAAUUCUAGUCGACAGUUUCAGAUGGCUUUCUCUAUGUUAACAGAGAAGCUGUGUGAGGCCAGUGUCUGAAUGGUAAAUUGGAGAUCUGAAAUGUCCUGCUGAGGAGUUAAACAGAAGAGACUUAAACAGAGCCUGGGGAAAUAGGCUCGUGAAUGCAGGUUGAUCCGGAGGUAAGCCCUCAACCUCCGACAACUCUGGUUCCUGAGGCUCCAUCUCUUCCGAUACAGAGUGUCUACUGACAUAGGAGACGGAUGGAGAAUCUGAGCCCGCAAGCAAGAGGGCAUCUUCCAAAUCGACUCUGUCCAGCGAAGCCGAAUAGUCCGAAUGGACCAAAUACACUGUAAUCGGUCUGGCAGUCGAGAAAGUAUGAGUCGACAGGGAUCGUUGCCCCAUUGCUGCAAUCAUACAUUGAAUGUCCUCUGGACGUAAAGGGGUAGAAUCAUGGUCUCAGGCUGGGCCGGCCUCUGUAGAGGCUUGAACCAGAGCAGAAGAUACAGGUGAAUGAACCACCAACCCAGCUGGAGUGCUAUACUCCACAGCAGGGCCGGAUUUUCCUAUAGGCUAACUAGGCUUCAGCCUAGGGCCUCAAGAUCAAGAGGGGCCUACAUUCAAAUUGUUAGCAAAAUUAAAAUUACACUUUCAUUAUAGGUGAAAGGGCCUCAUAAAUGGAAUAGCCUAGGGCCUCUUUUCAUCUAAAUCCAGCCCUGCUCCACAGCAUUGAUACCCCACAGGCGGGGGAGAUCCCAAUAAGUCAGCUGACUCAACUGACACCAGGAAGUCUUGCAGCAACAUCUGAUCUGGGGUCGGAGAGAGGUCACGUCUACGUUCCCCUGGAGAAACCCUGGCUGUUGUAGAUGAUGUAGGACCACUGUCCUUGGCCUUGACUACAGGCUUCCAUAGAAGCUUUCCCUUGCAUCUAGCAGAAAACUUAGCCUGAGGUUUAAUGGAUACUCCAUCCCCUUGCACAUGCUUGGCAUCUUAUGCUUGGAAGCAACUGACUGUUCCCUUACUGUGGCCUGGUGGCCAUGUUUUGACUUGUCCAGAGCCUUAGGCAUGAUAGGCCAUAUAACACCCAAGAAGUGGAAAAUAGACUCCAUGUUAAGCAAGGCAGUCCUGUAUCAGGGGAAUGUCAAAUUCUAGAUGCAUUCUGAGAUAAAUAUGCGAGGCAGCAACAGAGAAAAGAGAAGGCAAUUAACCCCAAGCCUGUAAGGUGAAGCAAUGUCUGCCAAAAGGGCUGAAGGCAAGGUUAGGCCAGGGUAGCAGGCACAGCCAGAAAGACUGGAGGCCUGAGAGAAGCUCAACGUGUCGCCUUGCCCCUAAACAUAAUGGCGGCCUGAACUGCCAACUCAGGGAUCACAAAGCUCCGUUACUGAUGAGAACAGCAAUGUCAAACAGCUGAGAUGCGGACCAGUAAGAGAAGUCAAAGAGUCGAGCAGGUAUAAAUUAGGGUGAUUUUACAUAUCACCAAGCCCUUGUGAUGUGACCACAAGUGGCAAACCACAGGGAGCGCGAAAACUCCACUUUGAAGCCGGUGGCAAGGUCAAUCAGCUGAGAAGUGGUUAAUAGUGACAGCGGGCAGAGCUUUGUUCAUUUCUGCAGGAGAGAAUCAGAACCUGGAGGAAAAGAACCGACAAGCGGUGAUAGUCAGGGAGCGCAAAGACUCCACUCAGAACCCGGCAGCUAGUCUCAAACAGCUGAGAAGCGGCUCUAUUGAGUCUGCUGGAGAAAAGCUGUGCCUGAGUGAAAGGCUGACAAGAGCAAGAGACAGGGAGUGCGAAAAACUCCACUAACAGUUAUGCGGCUGGCAGUGACAAAAAUGGCUGCCCAAAGACCGUGGGGAGUGCAAGACUCCGCAAAGAGAAGUCGCUGUUUAAAAUGCAGGGCUCCACUGGCAAAGCCGGUGAUUUUUAGCCACCCAUGGGAGCGGAAAGCUCCACCAACAUACAGAAACUUACCAGUUCGAUUAAAGGAUGUCCAGCAAACAAAAGAAUAGCCAAGUACGACAUCCAAGGUCAAAUCCAAACAAUCAGGUAUGAAAGAAAACAGUCUAACUCUGAAAACUGUCAGAGCUAGCUAUCCACAAACUGUGCCACCGUAAGAGUGGGAGUGCUAGACUCCACAUUAUUGUUACUUCGAACAGGAGGAGGAGAUCCCCAUAAAUCAGAUGGCUCAACUAAUAGUGGGAAAUCUUGUAUUGACAUGUGAUCCUGGGUCAGAGAGGAGGCAUGUCUACAUUCUCCUGGAGACCCAACCGUUAUAGCCAAUGGGGCAGAGCCAGUGCCUUUGUCUUUGCCAAUAGUUUUUCUUAGUAGCUUCUCCUUGCGCUUAGGAAGAGCCUCAGAACAAGGCUUAAUUGCUACUCCUUCCCCUUGUGUAUGCUUGGAAGCUUCCAUUUUAGAAUCCACUGACUGCUCUCGCACUGUGGCACUAAUUUUGACUUGGCCAGAGCCUUAGGCAUGACUGGCCUUAAUUAAUCAAUCGGGUUGAAAGGACCCCCUAAAAUUUUAUCAGCCUUGUAAUAGGUCAACGUAAAUUUAAAAGUAGUUUAAAUUAAUAUAAACAUGUUAUAGAUGUAAAUUAUAUCUCCAACACCAUUUCCAGUAGCCAGAUGUGGCAGUCUUAGUUUAUAAGGACAGAAUAUGCUUAUAGCCAGUACAGAACUAAGGAUUGGAGGCUUGAUAGAAAAAAACUGUGUCCUUGCCCUUAAACAAAAUGGCGGCCAAGCAGUCACCUAAGAACUCGAGCUGGCGUAACUGUCAAAAACUGAAGCACUGUUCAGUCUCAAAUGAAGGCAGAUCUGUCUUAAACAGUCUAAUUUGGCCAAAUAAUCAAAGCACUGAUAAACGGAGAUAGCCAGAGAAAGUCAAGCCUCGUAGUCGAAAAUGUUAAUUAGCCUCAAUCAGCUGUGAGGCAGUUUAAAAUAGCAGGGAAAAACUCUGCGCUUUCUUAAAACUGCCGACAAGCGGCAAGAAUCAGGGAGCGAGAUAACUCCUCAAAUGCAAAAGUUUAUGGCUAUAGUGAAAUAGCAUCAUCCAUAUUAAUCAUAUGUUGAAUGUCCUCUGUGCGCCAAUUGAUUUGCGCUUGAUCUCGAGCCUUGUCCACUUCAUUAGAAGUUUGGAUAGGAACAGAGGAUGUAGGUGCAUUAAGCACUGAGAAUGUGGGAGCGCUAGACUCCUCAGUAGUGGUUGUACCCAUAACGGGAUUAGAACCCCAAACUUCAGAUGAUUGAACUAAGAAACCUUAGAGUCAGUAUAAUUAUUUCUUUUACGUGACUUUUUAACAGUCUUGUCCUGGCUGAUGACAGCACUGGGAGUCACCAAAGAAUGUUUUGCGGUUGUGCGCAUAGGAAGUACACAUUCCUUUUGUUUCUGAUUAUGAUCCUCCCUAAAUGAAGCCUGUGAUUGCUCUCUUACUGUGGCCUUUCGGCCAUGUUUGGAUUUUGAGAUAGCUUUAGGCAUAAUAAUAGAUUGGGAAUCAGACCAAAUCUAUAAUCAGUAAGAUGUAAGUUAUUUAAAAUAUUUAUUAUUUUUCAAUAGUUUGAAAGGAUAGAUAAAGGCUAAUAUGUUUAAUGUUCUCAGGUAAAUGUAAAAUUCUAGCUGCGCCAGUAAUCAAAAUGGCGUCUCAGCACUCAACUGGCACAGCCUGAUAGGCUGGAGGCUCUCAGGAAUGGAACUUGAGUUAUUGCCGGUAUUCAAAUGGCAACCGGCUCAACUGUCAAUGUGAGCGCGAGGCUCAACUGUAAGGCAGAGAUAAAAUUCCAACAGUUAAAAGCCAUUAAGAUUUCCAGCAGAAUGCAUGGAGGACAAGGAGAAAAGGGGUCCCCAACCCCUGGUCUGAGGACUGGUACCAGGCCAUGGCCGAUUGGGAACCGGGCUGCGCAAGUGGCAGGCGAAUGCACGAAGCUCCAUUUGCACAUGCUAACAAGUAGUUUGCGUGUGUGAAACCAUGUCCUCCCCCCGCUGCCUGCUACCACUGCUGCUGCCGAUCUACGAAGCCGGAACGAUUGGGGACUGCUAUUCUACAUCAUUGGAACACCAGUGGAAUAAAAAUAUUUGGAAUUCAG